rnacentral:rRNA from 1 species
UCAGGCCUAACACAUGCAAGUCGAACGGUAACGCGGGGCAACCUGGCGACGAGUGGCGAACGGGUGAGUAAUGCAUCGGAACGUGCCCGGUAGUGGGGGAUAACUGCUCGAAAGAGCAGCUAAUACCGCAUACGACCUGAGGGUGAAAGGGGGGGAUCGCAAGACCUCUCGCUAUCGGAGCGGCGGAUGUCGGAUUAGCUAGUUGGUGGGGUAAAGGCCCACCAAGGCAACGAUCCGUAGCUGGUCUGAGAGGACGACCAGCCACACUGGGGCUGAGACGCGGCCCAGACUCCUACGGGAGGCAGCAGUGGGGAAUUUUGGACAAUGGACG